rnacentral:rRNA from 1 species
CGUAACGAGCGCAACCCUUGUCCUUAGUUACCAGCACGUUAUGGUGGGCACUCUAAGGAGACUGCCGGUGACAAACCGGAGGAAGGUGGGGAUGACGUCAAGUCAUCAUGGCCCUUACGGCCUGGGCUACACACGUGCUACAAUGGUCGGUACAGAGGGUUGCCAAGCCGCGAGGUGGAGCUAAUCUCACAAAACCGAUCGUAGUCCGGAUCGCAGUCUGCAACUCGACUGCGUGAAGUCGGAAUCGCUAGUAAUCGCGAAUCAGAAUGUCGCGGUGAAUACGUUCCCGGGCCUUGUACACACCGCCCGUCACACCAUGGGAGUGGGUUGCACCAGAAGUAGCUAGUCUAACCUUCGGGAGGACGGUUACCACGGUGUGAUUCAUGACUGGGGUGAAGUCGUAACAAGGUAGCCGU